rnacentral:rRNA from 1 species
GACGAACGCUGGCGGCGUGCCUAACACAUGCAAGUCGAACGGAGUAUCUAGCAAUAGAUACUUAGUGGCGAACGGGUGAGUAACGCGUAGACAACCUGCCUCUAAAUUGGGGACAACACCGCGAAAGUGGUGCUAAUACCGAAUGUGGUAUCUUAGCUGCAUGGCGAAGAUAAGAAAGAUGGCCUCUAUUUAUAAGCUAUCGUUUAGAGAUGGGUCUGCGUCUGAUUAGCUAGUUGGUGAGGUAAUGGCUCACCAAGGCGACGAUCAGUAGCCGGUCUGAGAGGAUGAACGGCCACACUGGGACUGAGACACGGCCCAGACUCCUACGGGAGGCAGCAGUGGGGAAUCUUCCGCAAUGGACGAAAGUCUGACGGAGCAACGCCGCGUGAGUGAAGAAGGUCUUCGGAUUGUAAAGCUCUGUCGUUUGGGACGAACGUGGACUGUGUGAAUAAUGCAGUCUAAUGACGGUACCAAAGGAGGGAGCCACGGCUAACUACGUGCCAGCAGCCGCGGUAAUACGUAGGUGGCAAGCGUUGUCCGGAAUUAUUGGGCGUAAAGGGCGUGUAGGUGGGUUACUAAGUCGUGUGUCUAAGUGCGAAGCUCAACUUCGUAUGGGCGCAGGAAACUGGUAAUCUUGAGUGCAGGAGAGGAAAGUGGAAUUCCCAGUGUAGCGGUGAAAUGCGUAGAUAUUGGGAGGAACACCAGUGGCGAAAGGCGACUUUCUGGACUGUGUCUGACACUGAGGCGCGAAAGCCAGGGGAGCGAACGGGAUUAGAUACCCCGGUAGUCCUGGCCGUAA